UCCGCAGGUGGCCAUUCAAGUCUGCAGUCAAAGGUCGGGGCUCAACCCCGAAAAGGCUGCGGAAACUGAAAGGCUAGAGUACGGUAGGGGCAGAGGGAAUUCCCAGUGUAGCGGUGAAAUGCGUAGAGAUUGGGAAGAACACCGGUGGCGAAAGCGCUCUGCUAGGCCGAAACUGACACUGAGGGACGAAAGCUAGGGGAGCGAAAG
rnacentral:rRNA from 1 species